GACGAACGCUGGCGGCGUGCUUAACACAUGCAAGUCGAACGGAAAGGCCCAGCUUUUGUGGGGUGCUCGAGUGGCGAACGGGUGAGUAACACGUGAGUAACCUGCCCUUGACUUUGGGAUAACUUCAGGAAACUGGGGUUAAUACCGGAUAGGAGCUCCUGCUGCAUGGUGGGGGUUGGAAAGUUUCGGCGGUUGGGGAUGGACUCGCGGCUUAUCAGCUUGUUGGUGGGGUAGUGGCUUACCAAGGCUUUGACGGGUAGCCGGCCUGAGAGGGUGACCGGCCACAUUGGGACUGAGAUACGGCCCAGACUCCUACGGGAGGCAGCAGUGGGGAAUAUUGCACAAUGGGCGGAAGCCUGAUGCAGCAACGCCGCGUGCGGGAUGACGGCCUUCGGGUUGUAAACCGCUUUCGCCUGUGACGAAGCGUGAGUGACGGUAAUGGGUAAAGAAGCACCGGCUAACUACGUG
rnacentral:rRNA from 1 species